GGAAGAGAUAAGUGCUGAAAGCAUCUAAGCACGAAACUUGCCCCGAGAUGAGUUCUCCCUGAGACUUUAGGUCUCCUGAAGGAACGUUGAAGACGACGACGUUGAUAGGCCGGGUGUGUAAGCGCAGCGAUGCGUUGAGCUAACCGGUACUAAUGAACCGUGAGGCUUAACCUU
rnacentral:rRNA from 1 species